rnacentral:rRNA from 1 species
AGAGUUUGAUCCUGGCUCAGAACAAACGCUGGCGGCGUGCCUAACACAUGCAAGUCGUACGUGAAAGUCCCGCAAGGGACAAGUAAAGUGGCGACCGGGUGAGUAAUACAUAGGUAACCUACUUAUAAGUUGGGAAUAACAGUUCGAAAGGACUGCUAAUACCGAAUAUUAUAUUAUAACACAGGUUGUAAUAUCAAAGAUGGCCUCUUUACAAUGCUAUCGCUUAUAAAUGGGCUUAUGAACCAUUAGCUAGUUGGUGGAGUAAUAGCCUACCAAGGCAAUGAUGGUUAGCUGGUCUGAGAGGAUGAUCAGCCACACUGGAACUGAAACACGGUCCAUAACUUCCUACGGGAGGCAGCAUUGGGGAAUACUUGCGCAUGGGGGAAACCCUUGACGCAGCAGCGCCUCGUGAGCGACUAAGCCUAUCAGGUCUGUAAAGCUCCUUUCAAAUGGGAAA